UAUAGUUUAUUUGGUGGUUAGUCAUUACAUGGAUAACCAUGGUAAUUCUAGAGCUAAUACAUGCGCUCAGACCCAACUACGCGGAAGGGUUGUGUUUAUUAGGUACAAAACCAACCCAGGCUCUGCUUGGUUUUUUGGUGAUUCAUGAUAACCGAACGAAUCGCAUAGCAACCGCUGGCGAUAAACCAUUCAAGUUUCUGACCUAUCAGCUUCCGACGGUAGGGUAUUGGCCUACCGUGGCUAUGACGGGUAACGGAGAAUUAGGGUUCGAUUCCGGAGAGGGAGCCCGAGAAACGGCUACCACA
rnacentral:rRNA from 1 species